rnacentral:rRNA from 1 species
CCUUCGGGGGACAAAGUGACAGGUGGUGCAUGGUUGUCGUCAGCUCGUGUCGUGAGAUGUUGGGUUAAGUCCCGCAACGAGCGCAACCCUUAAGCUUAGUUGCCAUCAUUAAGUUGGGCACUCUAAGUUGACUGCCGGUGACAAACCGGAGGAAGGUGGGGAUGACGUCAAAUCAUCAUGCCCCUUAUGAUUUGGGCUACACACGUGCUACAAUGGACAAUACAAAGGGCAGCUAAACCGCGAGGUCAAGCAAAUCCCAUAAAGUUGUUCUCAGUUCGGAUUGUAGUCUGCAACUCGACUACAUGAAGCUGGAAUCGCUAGUAAUCGUAGAUCAGCAUGCUACGGUGAAUACGUUCCCGGGUCUUGUACACACCGCCCGUCACACCACGAGAGUUUGUAACAC